rnacentral:lncRNA from 1 species
CAGGCUUUAUUGUUCUGUCUCUGGGACCUAGCAGGUGACCCUGGGCAAGUUACUUCUCAUUUGUCCGGCAAGGACGCUAAACUCUGCCUUGCUGGGUCAGGGUCAUGGAGGGGAUGAAAUGUGAUAACACGAGGAAGCAGCCUGGGCUUCAGAGGCAGUAGAUCCUGGUCUGGUCCCAGCUCAGUGUGUGGGAACCUUGGUCACCGAACGUCCCUGAGUGAAUUUUUUUCCAUCACUUUAAAGUUGGGGGUAUUAUUGAUAGCAGUCCAAACCCCACAGGAGUACCCUGAGGACAGAGUGAGACGAGGUUUAGAGAAGUGCUUACUAUGGCAUCUGGCACAAGGAGGACUCCUGAUCAAUCUAAUACUCAUUUAUCAUUGUGGUUAACCUGUUUAAGGGACUCCGCAUGCAGAUGAGGCUUGGGAUGUGUUUGUUUUCUACCUUUUUGCAACCUCUUUUAUUGGUCUGUGUCGGUUUUCCCCUCCCAAAGCUGGGGGCAGGGUUGGGCUUUAUAAAACUUGAGCCCCUCUGGGGACUGGGUUCUCAGCAAGUUACCGCUCCUGCCAUCAUGCCACCCUGAUGGAUGUCCAAGCCUCACUUCCCUCCUGCACUCCCCGCUCCCGCCGCCGUCCCUGGGAUUAAGGGAGAGGAGAAUGGCUGCUUGUUACUGCCUACCUACUCUGUGCCAGAUGUCCAGCUCGCCGCUGUCCAAGAAACGUCGCGUGUCCGGGCCUGAUCCAAAGCCGGGUUCUAACUGCUCCCCUGCCCAGUCCGUGUUGUCCGAAGUGCCCUCGGUGCCAACCAACGGAAUGGCCAAGAACGGCAGUGAAGCAGACAUAGACGAGGGCCUUUACUCCCGGCAGCUGUAAGUG